rnacentral:rRNA from 1 species
CUUAAAGGAAUUGACGGGGGAGCACUACAACGGGAGGAGCCUGCGGUUUAAUUGGAUUCAACGCCGGACAACUCACCGGGAGCGACAGUAUCAUGAAAGUCAGGCUGAAGACCUUACUGGAUUCGCUGAGAGGAGGUGCAUGGCCGUCGUCAGUUCGUACUGUGAAGCAUUGUGUUAAGUCAGGCAACGGGCAAGACCCGCGCCUACAAUUGCCAGCAUGUUCUCCGGAACGAUGGGUACUUUGUGGGGACCGCCGCUGCUAAAGCGGAGGAAGGAACGGNCUACGGUAAGUCAUCAUGCCCCGAAUGUCCCGGGCUACACACGGGCUACAAUGGAUGGGACAAUGGGCUCCUACACCGAGAGGUGACGGUAAUCUCCUAAACCCACCCGUAGUUCGGAUUGAGGGCUGCAACCCGCCCUCUUGAAGCUGGAUUCCGUAGUAAUCGCGUUUCACGAUAGCGCGGUGAAUACGUUCCUGCUGCUUGCACACACCGCCCGUCAAACCACCCUAGUGAGGUCUGCGUGUGGGUGCGGCUCCGGUCGCAUUCGAACCUGAGCUUUCUAAGGGGGUUGAGUCUGUACAAGGUAGGCGGAUGCGACCUUGAGCUGGAUCACCUACUAUUAAAUCG